GAAAGUUCGCGCGACUGGCGGAAGUGGAGUUCACCACACGGAGCGCGAGCCACGGAUCUGCCGACCGCCUGGGCUUGUUGC
rnacentral:ncRNA from 1 species